GGUUAAGCGACUAAGCGUACACGGUGGAUGCCCUGGCAGUCAGAGGCGAUGAAGGACGUGCUAAUCUGCGAUAAGCGUCGGUAAGGUGAUAUGAACCGUUAUAACCGGCGAUUUCCGAAUGGGGAAACCCAGUGUGUUUCGACACACUAUCAUUAACUGAAUCCAUAGGUUAAUGAGGCGAACCGGGGGAACUGAAACAUCUAAGUACCCCGAGGAAAAGAAAUCAACCGAGAUUCCCCCAGUAGCGGCGAGCGAACGGGGAGCAGCCCAGAGCCUGAAUCAGUGUGUGUGUUAGUGGAAGCGUCUGGAAAGGCGCGCGAUACAGGGUGACAGCCCCGUACACAAAAAUGCACAUGCUGUGAGCUCGAUGAGUAGGGCGGGACACGUGGUAUCCUGUCUGAAUAUGGGGGGACCAUCCUCCAAGGCUAAAUACUCCUGACUGACCGAUAGUGAACCAGUACCGUGAGGGAAAGGCGAAAAGAACCCCGGCGAGGGGAGUGAAAAAGAACCUGAAACCGUGUACGUACAAGCAGUGGGAGCACGCUUAGGCGUGUGACUGCGUACCUUUUGUAUAAUGGGUCAGCGACUUAUAUUCUGUAGCAAGGUUAACCGAAUAGGGGAGCCGAAGGGAAACCGAGUCUUAACUGGGCGUUAAGUUGCAGGGUAUAGACCCGAAACCCGGUGAUCUAGCCAUGGGCAGGUUGAAGGUUGGGUAACACUAACUGGAGGACCGAACCGACUAAUGUUGAAAAAUUAGCGGAUGACUUGUGGCUGGGGGUGAAAGGCCAAUCAAACCGGGAGAUAGCUGGUUCUCCCCGAAAGCUAUUUAGGUAGCGCCUCGUGAAUUCAUCUCCGGGGGUAGAGCACUGUUUCGGCAAGGGGGUCAUCCCGACUUACCAACCCGAUGCAAACUGCGAAUACCGGAGAAUGUUAUCACGGGAGACACACGGCGGGUGCUAACGUCCGUCGUGAAGAGGGAAACAACCCAGACCGCCAGCUAAGGUCCCAAAGUCAUGGUUAAGUGGGAAACGAUGUGGGAAGGCCCAGACAGCCAGGAUGUUGGCUUAGAAGCAGCCAUCAUUUAAAGAAAGCGUAAUAGCUCACUGGUCGAGUCGGCCUGCGCGGAAGAUGUAACGGGGCUAAACCAUGCACCGAAGCUGCGGCAGCGACGCUGAUGCGUUGUUGGGUAGGGGAGCGUUCUGUAAGCCUGCGAAGGUGUGCUGUGAGGCAUGCUGGAGGUAUCAGAAGUGCGAAUGCUGACAUAAGUAACGAUAAAGCGGGUGAAAAGCCCGCUCGCCGGAAGACCAAGGGUUCCUGUCCAACGUUAAUCGGGGCAGGGUGAGUCGACCCCUAAGGCGAGGCCGAAAGGCGUAGUCGAUGGGAAACAGGUUAAUAUUCCUGUACUUGGUGUUACUGCGAAGGGGGGACGGAGAAGGCUAUGUUGGCCGGGCGACGGUUGUCCCGGUUUAAGCGUGUAGGCUGGUUUUCCAGGCAAAUCCGGAAAAUCAAGGCUGAGGCGUGAUGACGAGGCACUACGGUGCUGAAGCAACAAAUGCCCUGCUUCCAGGAAAAGCCUCUAAGCAUCAGGUAACAUCAAAUCGUACCCCAAACCGACACAGGUGGUCAGGUAGAGAAUACCAAGGCGCUUGAGAGAACUCGGGUGAAGGAACUAGGCAAAAUGGUGCCGUAACUUCGGGAGAAGGCACGCUGAUAUGUAGGUGAAGUCCCUUGCGGAUGGAGCUGAAAUCAGUCGAAGAUACCAGCUGGCUGCAACUGUUUAUUAAAAACACAGCACUGUGCAAACACGAAAGUGGACGUAUACGGUGUGACGCCUGCCCGGUGCCGGAAGGUUAAUUGAUGGGGUUAGCCGCAAGGCGAAGCUCUUGAUCGAAGCCCCGGUAAACGGCGGCCGUAACUAUAACGGUCCUAAGGUAGCGAAAUUCCUUGUCGGGUAAGUUCCGACCUGCACGAAUGGCGUAAUGAUGGCCAGGCUGUCUCCACCCGAGACUCAGUGAAAUUGAACUCGCUGUGAAGAUGCAGUGUACCCGCGGCAAGACGGAAAGACCCCGUGAACCUUUACUAUAGCUUGACACUGAACAUUGAGCCUUGAUG
rnacentral:rRNA from 1 species